rnacentral:rRNA from 1 species
UACAGAGGGUGCAAGCGUUGCUCGGAUUUACUGGGCGUAAAGCGUACGCAGACGGCCACGCAGGUCGGGUGUGAAAGCCCCGGGCUCAACCCGGGAAUUGCAUUCGAAACCAUGUGGCUCGAGUGUGGGAGAGGAAAGUGGAAUUCCUGGUGUAGAGGUGAAAUUCGUAGAUAUCAGGAGGAACACCGGCGGCGAAGGCGGCUUUCUGGUCCACAACUGACGUUCAGGUACGAAAGCGUGGGGAGCAAACAGG